GCCAGGCGUGGUGGUGCAUGCCUGUAAUCCCAACUACUCGGGAGGCUGAGGCAGGAGAAUUGCUUGAACCCAGGAGGCGGGGGUUGCAGUGAGCCGAAAUGGUGCCACUGCACUAUAGCCUGGGUAACAGGGUGAGACUCUGUCUCAA
rfam:Macaca mulatta chromosome 2, whole genome shotgun sequence.